UAAGGAAGUUCUUUAAAGCUAAAGUCCCUAAAACAAAAAGAACUUUGCUAAAAACUGAAGCCGAUAUUAAAUCAGAAAUUACACCAAUUAAUGGGGGUAAAUUAUGGUACCGUGGCAUAGAAAAAGUGCUUCUUAAAUAUUUUGAAGAUAUUGAUCCUGAACCGGACAUAUUUACCAUCGAUGUUUCUAUCGACGGGCUUCCACUGUUUAGAAGUUCCCGUAAACAGCUUUGGCCAAUACAAAUAAGGGUGGUCGAAUUACCAAAAGUUCCACCAUUUGUCAUUGGAACUUAUGGAGGCCCGAAGAAACCCCAUAGUAUUGGAGAAUUUUUGAAUCCUUUGGUGAAGGAAAUAAACGAUCUCCAAAAAAGAGACCUUCAGUUUAAGCAUAAGUUGGUGCCAAUGUUUCUUCGGGCUUUUAUUGCAGAUUCGCCGAUGCGGGCCACUUUGAAAGCUACAAUGAAUUUCAAUGCAAGACAUGGAUGCUUGAAAUGCACAUGUGUUGGGACAACAAUUCAGGUUGGACCUAAUAAAAAAAAAUUAUUUUAGCUUCCAUCGAUGCACCUCCACGCACGAACGUUGGAUUUAGGCAAAGAGAUGACAAAGCUCAUCAUAAAGAAUGGUGCAGUCCUUUGGAAGCCAUCGAUGACUUUGAUAUGGUCGAAGGAAUGCCAGUGUCCGACAGGUUGCAUUUAUUGGAUGAGGGAAUAUUCCAAAAAAUACUAGUAGGGUUUUUGAACAACGUUUUCGAACUAUUAGGCCAUAUUUAUCCUCGUCAGAAGGAAGUAGUAUCUGCCUAUAUAAUCAAAAUUAGGCUUCCCUAUGAUAUACCUCGUAGAAUUCGGUCCCUUGAUGAAAUUGCGCAAUGGAAAGCUACUGAAUACCGUAUCUUCUUCCAUUAUUUAAGCGUAGUUAUACUAGAAGAUUUUUAUCAAUAUGAAGGUUCAUUUAACCAUUUUUUGAUGUUAUUUUCUGCGAUAACUAUAUUUUCUUCAAGGGCCCAUCAACAAUAUUGGUCUCUGGCAAAAAUAAUGUUGGACGAAUUCUUUAGACACUUUGGGAAAUAUUAUGGACGUUCUAACAUAACCAGCAAUGUUCAUAA